GGACUACUGGGGUUUCUAAUCCUGUUUGCUCCCCACGCUUUCGCGUCUCAGCGUCAGUCAUCGUCCAGAUCGCCGCCUUCGCCACCGGUGUUCCUCUCGAUAUCUACGAAUUUCACCUCUACACCGAGAAUUCCACGAUCCUCUCCGAGACUCUAGCUUUGCAGUUUCGGGUGCACUUCCCCGGUUGAGCCGAGGGCUUUCACAUCCGACUUGCAUAGCCGCCUACACGCGCUUUACGCCCAGUAAUUCCGAACAACGUUUGCACCCUCUGUCUUACCGCGGCUGCUGGCAC
rnacentral:rRNA from 1 species